UACGGAAGGGACUAGCGUUGUUCGGAAUUACUGGGCGUAAAGCGCACGUAGGCGGAUUUGUAAGUCAGGGGUGAAAUCCCGGGGCUCAACCUCGGAACUGCCUUUGAUACUGCAAAUCUCGAGUCCGGAAGAGGUGAGUGGAAUUCCUAGUGUAGAGGUGAAAUUCGUAGAUAUUAGGAAGAACACCAGUGGCGAAGGCGGCUCACUGGUCCGGUACUGACGCUGAGGUGCGAAAGCGUGGGGAGCAAACAGG
rnacentral:rRNA from 1 species